rnacentral:rRNA from 1 species
UCACUUCGGUGGCGCCAGUGGCGAACGGUCGCGUAACACGUAAGCAACCUGCCCGGAAGUGGGGGAUAACGGCCCGAAAGGGGCGCUAAUACCGCAUGUGGUCAAGUCCAGGCAUCUGGUCUUGUCUAAAGAUUUAUCGCUUCCGGAUGGGCUUGCGGCCUAUCAGGUAGUCGGUGGGGUAACGGCCUACCGAGCCGACGACGGGUAGCUGGUCUGAGAGGACGAUCAGCCGGAUUGGGACUGAGAUACGGCCCAGACUCCUACGGGGGGCAGCAAUUAGGAAUCUUGCGCAAUGGGGGCAACCCUGACGCAGCGACGCCGCGUGCGGGACGAAGGCAUUCGUGUCGUAAACCGCUUUUCUCGGGGAAGAAGGAUGUGACGGUACCCGAGGAAUAAGCCCCGGCUAACUACGUGCCAGCAGCCGCGGUAAUACGUAGGGGGCGAGCGUUGUCCGAAGUUACUGGGCGUAAAGCGCGCGUAGGCGGUUCUCUAAGUCUGAGGUGAAAGGUUCGGCGCUCAACGUGAACAGUGCCUUGGAGACUGGGGGACUUGAGUGUGGGAGGGGGCAGUGGAAUUCCGGGUGUAGCGGUGAAAUGCGUAGAUAUCCGGAGGAACACCGAUGGCGAAGGCAGCUGCCUGGCCUGACACUGACGCUGAGGUGCGAAAGCGUGGGGAGCGAACGGGAUUAGAUACCCCGGUAGUCCACGCCGUAAACGAUGAGUGCUAGGUGUCCGGGGUAUCGACCCCCCGGGUGCCGCCGCCAACGCAGUAAGCACUCCGCCUGGGGAGUACGGCCGCAAGGUUG